UGAUGUUAGAUGUCAAGGUAUGUAUUUUAAAGAAUUAAGUAUUUACAUACCCUAGUAAAAUUAAUUCUUGACUGCAGUAUGAAGAUUGCAUAAAAUGUUUUACCUUUUUUAAGUGAAAAUUCAAGUUAUUUCACACACGUGCAAGUAACAUUUCUGCAAGUUUUCUCACUGGAGAUAUUUCAUAUUUAGAAUUGUUAACUGGAUCUAAGUUUUACAUCAAGUGAGCAUUUAAAAAAGGAAAACAGCUCAUUACAGUUUUUGUUUGUUUGUUUGUUUUUGUUUUUUUAACUGAAGCUGAACACAAUUGCAGGCUUUUCAAAGGAAACAGAAAUAAACUCACUAAGCCUCGUUCCCGUGAGCAUACAUGCCUGGAGUGUAGACUCUAGAGCCCAAAGACAGAUCAAAUAUUCAAAGGGUGAGAUAUCCCAUUUUCUUCCAGACAAACUGAAGACACUCUGUUGUGAAGGAACCUUAAACGACUUUCUGGGAGAGGCAGCUUUCCUUUGGACAGGUGAGGAAGCUGAAUCCAGAGAAUGAAAUAUGUACACCUUGAUUCUUCUGCUGCACAAAACUCACAACAGACAACAGAGAAUAAAUCAGAGUCUCAAUUAUGGAUGUCUAUUGGACAAAUCCUUCAAAAUACCUGACAGAUACAUCACAAAACUAAAGCAGAAUAUCAAUUGCAGAUACAAUACACAAGGGAUAAGAGUGGCCUCCUACUUUUCCCACCUCUGGGCAACAUCUUCAAGAAGGUAUGAAUGUAAGUGGGUUGAGGUCAUCUGAAGGAAAUAGACAGUUGAAUAGAAAA
rnacentral:lncRNA from 1 species